rfam:Picea glauca, whole genome shotgun sequence.
AUAACAAGCUAAGUGGGCUUGAUUGUGGGGAAAACUCCACAGUUAAGCGCGCUUGAGCUGGAGACGUAUUGGGAUGGGUGACCACCUGGUAAGUCCUGGUUACUGGGUGUA